GCAGUUGUAGCCCAUGCCAGAGCACCAGUUUUCAUAACUGGUCGCCGGAGGUUAGAACCCUCCCUACUGCC
rnacentral:tRNA from 1 species